UUACGGCCACAUCACGUUGAAAUACUGGCCCCCAUACGAACACUGAAGAUAAGUAACAUCGAGCCUGGUCAGUACCUAGAUGGGUAACCGCUUGGAAAUAUCAGGUGCU